UGGGGAAUAUUGCACAAUGGGCGCAAGCCUGAUGCAGCCAUGCCGCGUGUAUGAAGAAGGCCUUCGGGUUGUAAAGUACUUUCAGUCGGGAGGAAGGUGGUAAGGUUAAUAACCUUAUCAAUUGACGUUACCGACAGAAGAAGCACCGGCUAACUCCGUGCCAGCAGCCGCGGUAAUACGGAGGGUGCAAGCGUUAAUCGGAAUUACUGGGCGUAAAGCGCACGCAGGCGGUUGAUUGAGUCAGAUGUGAAAUCCCCGGGCUUAACCCGGGAAUUGCAUCUGAUACUGGUCAGCUAGAGUCUUGUAGGGGGGGGUAGAAUUCCAUGUGUAGCGGUGAAAUGCGUAGAGAUGUGGAGGAAUACCGGUGGCGAAGGCGGCCCCCUGGACAAAGACUGACGCUCAGGUGCGAAAGCGUGGGGAGCAAACAGG
rnacentral:rRNA from 1 species